AGAUUGAACUGAAGAGUUUGAUCAUGGCUCAGAUUGAACGCUGGCGGCAGGCUUAACACAUGCAAGUCGAGCGGUAACAGA
rnacentral:rRNA from 1 species